rnacentral:rRNA from 1 species
CAUGCAAGUCGAACGAUGAACUUGGAGCUUGCUCUGGGGGAUUAGUGGCGAACGGGUGAGUAACACGUGAGUAACCUGCCCUGGACUCUGGGAUAAGCGUUGGAAACGACGUCUAAUACCGGAUAGGACCCUGGACCGCAUGGUUUGGGGUGGAAAGUUUUUUCGGUCUGGGAUGGACUCGCGGCCUAUCAGCUUGUUGGUGAGGUAAUGGCUCACCAAGGCGUCGACGGGUAGCCGGCCUGAGAGGGUGACCGGCCACACUGGGACUGAGACACGGCCCAGACUCCUACGGGAGGCAGCAGUGGGGAAUAUUGCACAAUGGGCGAAAGCCUGAUGCAGCAACGCCGCGUGCGGGAUGACGGCCUUCGGGUUGUAAACCGCUUUUAGUAAGGAAGAAGGGGAGCUUGCUCCUUGACGGUACUUGCAGAAAAAGGACCGGCUAACUACGUGCCAGCAGCCGCGGUAAUACGUAGGGUCCGAGCGUUGUCCGGAAUUAUUGGGCGUAAAGAGCUCGUAGGCGGUUUGUCGCGUCUGCUGUGAAAUCUGGAGGCUCAACCUCCAGCCUGCAGUGGGUACGGGCAGACUAGAGUGCGGUAGGGGAGAAUGGAAUUCCUGGUGUAGCGGUGGAAUGCGCAGAUAUCAGGAGGAACACCGAUGGCGAAGGCAGUUCUCUGGGCCGUAACUGACGCUGAGGAGCGAAAGCGUGGGGAGCGAACAGGAUUAGAUACCCUGGUAGUCCACGCCGUAAACGUUGGGCGCUAGAUGUGG